UACAGAGGUCUCAAGCGUUGUUCGGAUUCAUUGGGCGUAAAGGGGGCGUAGGCGGCGUGGUAAGUCGGGUGUGAAAUCUCGGAGCUUAACUCCGAAACUGCAUUCGAUACUGCCGUGCUUGAGGACUGGAGAGGAGACUGGAAUUUACGGUGUAGCGGUGAAAUGCGUAGAUAUCGUAAGGAAGACCAGUGGCGAAGGCGGGUCUCUGGACAGUUCCUGACGCUGAGGCACGAAGGUCAGGGGAGCAAACGGG
rnacentral:rRNA from 1 species